AGUGAACGCUGGCGGUAGGCCUAACACAUGCAAGUCGAACGGCAGCACAGUAAGAGCUUGCUCUUACGGUUGGCGAGUGACGGACGGGUGAGGAAUACAUCGGAAGCUACGUUUUCGUGGGGGAUAACGUAGGGAAACUGACGCUAAUACCGCAUAUGACCUACGGGUUAAAGCAUGUUAUCUUCGGACCUUGCGCGAUUUAAUGAACCGAUGUCGGAUGUGUUAGUUGGCGGGGGAAAGGCCCACCAAGGCGACGAUCCGUAGCUGGUCUGAGAGGAUGUUCGGCCAACCUGGAACUGAGAAACGGUCCAGACUCCUACGGGAGGAAGAAGUGGGGAAUAUUGGACAAUGGGCGAAAGCCUGCUCCAGCCAUACCGCGUGGUGGAAGAAGGUCUUCGGGUUUUAAAGCCCUUUUGUUGGGAAAGAAAAGCAGCAGGUUAAUAACCCGAUGUUCUGACGGUACCCAAAGAAUAAGCAACGGCUAACUUCGUG
rnacentral:rRNA from 1 species